ensembl:lncRNA
GAUGUUUUGUCAGCCCAGCCAUGGCUAGAGGAAAAGUCCUUCUUUCAAUAUUUUGCCCAUAACCCUGAUAAACCAACAGGGGCUUUCACACAGCACCUUAAAAGCCUGUCUUAUCCUUGGGGUUUCUGCAGCCAAUGAAAGUUUGUCACGAUGAUGUAAUGCUCCUGAGUUGUGUUUCAGCACCGAGUGUGUGGUCACCGAGUAUCAUGCCUGAGAGCUAGACCGUCUGGAAAGGGCAGCUGUAUUACAUCUUCACUAAAGCUAGGAAAGCCCUUCCACCAUGGCUCUUCUGCCUGGAGCUGGCAGACCAUGCAAGGACUGAGACUUCUGAAACUGUGAGCCGAAAUAAACCUCUCCUCAUUUAAAUUGCGGGUGUCAAGUAUUUUGUCCCAGCAAUGAGGAAAGUGACUAAGACAGGAGCCCAAAUAGUGAGUACACCAUCUAUAUUAUUUCCCUAAUGAUGGACUUGUGCAAAUAAGUGUACUUUUUCUAAUGGUAAAAAUAGUUCAGGUGGAGAUCUAACAUGGCUGAUUAGAGGAGGUGGUAUGUCAGAGAGAUUCAGUGAAGAGUUACCAGAAAGGUACUCUGAAAUAGGGGAGG